AGUUUAAUUUGCAAUGUAACCAAUUGUUUUCAUGAAACCACUGUGCAAUUUGAGAGGAGAGGAGAGGAGAGGGGCUGUUGUUUUGUGUGUUUGUUUUCUUACGUUUUGCUUUGCUUUAGGGUUCUAACCUGAAUAACACUUAAGGCUCACUCUGUAUGCUAUUCCAGGACGGUGCCCUCUUAGGCUUAAACUAUGAUGAAAUACUCUCCAGUGAUUCAUAUCCCUUUAACACUGAAAUACUCUCUGGCCAUCUAGUAGAAAGGCUAUAUGAAUAUGUCAUCCCUGUGUCACAGUAAUCAUAAGCCCUGUGCAUGUGCUACGUUUAUUACAGCCUCCAUCAUUCUCACAGCCGUACACGGGGCUCCGGGCAGCGGACGGUGCCGUUGUUGGGGGUCCUGCUGCCACCUCGAGGUACGGAGCCGAACUGCCACCUUCGGUGUGAAACGGGAGGAAAAAACACAGUUCUGAACGCGCAGCACCUCAAAGUCCCUCCAAGAGCCCCCAGCUACUGCCCUGAGCCCUGCAGUUCUCCCUGCAGCCCCUUAACAACCUCAGGAGUGCCGGCAGCACCUCGUGCCUUAGGAUGCCCGGUGGAUCUCCCCAGGAUGCACUCAUCUCCUGCAUUGUGAUCAUUGGCAGAAAUAUCCGAUGGCACUGACCCGAUGUGGGGGCUCAGAGGCGGCACACAGGGAAACCUGCAGUGCUGCAGCGUGUGCCCGGCGCCUCUGGUCCUGCUGCUGGGCACCGCUGGGUGCAGCCCGGCUCCGUCCUCUCUGCACCUCCCUGCAGGGACUGAUGGUCGUGCCUGGGAUCCCCCUGAGCCUCCUCUCCUGCAGGCCGAGCCGCCCCAGCUCUCCCGCAAUCCCAGCCCAACCAUUCCCCAUGCCUACGUUCCCACCCAGGGCUGACUGAAGAGGGGAGGGGAUUUUGGAGGGGGCAGCCCUGGGACACGGCCCUUUGUGCAGCCCCGCAGGUGGGCAAUGGGGACUGGGGGGGCUUUGGUGCUGCAGGAAUGACUGCACGUGGAGGCGUAGGAAAGUGAAUACAAAACAUUUAAUAAUUUAACACAAUUUAACAUAAUUUAGCAGUCCAAGAUGACGUUGGUGGACAGCCCAGGUUUGGAGGGGUAGGGCUGGGGCCGGUGCUGGUGCCCCUGGAGCACUGCCGCUGCUCUCUGUGCGCCGCGGGGGCCGGCGAGGAGCCCAGGGCUGCAGGGAGCCGUCUUUGUUGGCUAUGGCCGUGUCUCCUGCUGCACCAC
rnacentral:lncRNA from 1 species